UGAAUACGAGGCACUAAGGUGCUGAAGUAGUGUAUGUCAUACUUCCAAGAAAAGCUUGCACUAUCGUAAGAUAAAAAUGCCUGUACCAUAACCGACACAGGUGGGUAGGUAGAGUAUACUAAGGGGCGCGAGAUAACUCUCUCUAAGGAACUCGGCAAAAUAACUCCGUGACUUCGGGAGAAGGAGUGCCUUAUUCUAUAAGGUUGCAAUAACAAGAUCCAAGCAACUGUUUAUCAAAAACACAGGUCUCCGCUAAGUCGUAAGACGAUGUAUGGGGGCUGACGCCUGCCCAGUGCCAGAAGGUUAAAGAAGUCGGUUAGCAAUUGCGAAGCUGGUAACUGAAGCCCUGGUGAACGGCGGCCGUAACAAUAACGGUCCUAAGGUAGCGAAAUUCCUUGUCGGGUAAGUUCCGACCCGCACGAAAGGCGUAAUGAUUUGGAUACUGUCUCGGAGAGGGACUCGGUGAAAUAGACUUGUCUGUGAAGAUGCGGACUACCUGCACCAGGACAGAAAGACCCUAUGAAGCUUUACUGUAACUUGAAAUUGAAAUUGGACUUUAUUCGCGCAGUAUAGGUGGGAGGCGUUGAUUAUAAUCUUGUGGGAUUAUUGGAGCCAUUAGUGAGAUACCACUCUUGUAAUGUUAGAUUUCUAACUUUGAAUCAUGAUCUGGUCAAAGAACAGUUUCAGGCGGGCAGUUUGACUGGGGCGGUCGCCUCCUAAAUGGUAACGGAGGCGUACAAAGGUUUCCUCUGAACGGGUAGAAAUCGUAUCUAGAGUGUAAAGGCAUAAGGAAGCUUGACUGUGAGACCUACAAGUCGAGCAGGGACGAAAGUCGGUCUUAGUGAUCUGACGGUACUGAGUGGAAAGGCCGUCACUCAACGGAUAAAAGUUACUCUAAGGAUAACAGGCUGAUCUCCCCCAAGAGUUCACAUCGACGGGGAGGUUUGGCACCUCGAUGUCGGCUCAUCGCAUCCUGGGGCGGUAGUACGUCCCAAGGGUUGGGCUGUUCGCCCAUGAAAGCGGUACGCGAGCUGGGUUCAGAACGUCGUGAGACAGUUCGGUCCAUAUCCGGUGUAGGCGUUAGAAUAUUGAGAGGAGCCUUCUUUAGUACGAGAGGACCGAGAAGGACAUACCUCUGGUGUACCAGUUAUCGUGCCAACGGUAAACGCUGGGUAGCUAUGUAUGGAGUGGAUAACCGCUGAAAGCAUCUAAGUGGGAAGCCCACCUCAAGAUAAGUAUUCUCAU
rnacentral:rRNA from 1 species